UAACUCUGUCUCCAAACAUGCCUUUGAGAGCAACUUUUCUCAGUCUCACGUUUAUGAUAUUGAGUCAGCUGUUUUUACCUUUUCUGGACCCAGGGUGCAACCAGACAUGACAGCCGGAGGUCUGGGAUUAGAGCAGCUUCCCUUUUUUAUUUACUAAGUAGCUGCUGGAGGUGGUGAGGAGGAAUCUGAUAAGGAUUGUGGUGCUGCUGGAAGAAGUUGAUUCUUUCUCCCCUCCCUCCAUUUUCCUCAUAAAACUGCCCUCUCCAAAGCUGCUAUUUUCUCUGCAGGUAGCACACUUUUAAAGAAUAGCAGGAGACCCAGUUACAGAUUUCCCACACUCUUCUGCCAUUUGGCCCUCAGAAUAUGGAGAUAAUUGAUAUAUGAGCAUCGUAAUGGGCAACUUGAAUCAGCAGCCACAUUCUGGGCUCUCUUUGCUGGCUGUGUGCCCUCCUGGGGAAUUUCCUUCCCGUGGCUGACCAUGAAGGCCUCCGCUUGGAUGUGUCGAUGUACGAAGGCCUCUGGUCCUAGGCCUGCAACUGUUGGAACUCCAGAGAGCUUAGUGUUCGCAAUUCCACCCUCUUGUUAUAAUGUCUGUUCUGGGUCUUCUGGAUUGAAGUAAAUAAUAAAUAAUGGGGACAAAGAACCAAAUUAUGAGAAGCAUCUCUCUUUCAGUGGAGAAGAAGAGAAUUCAAAACAAAAUGCUUGAAUGGUGAUUCAGUGAAGAAUGACACUGGAAGCUAGUAGAACAAAACAAAUAUUUUAAGCGUUUUUAUCUGUUUGCCAAACUCUCCGUAAGCAGCUUGGUAUUUGUAUUCCGGCUUGCCUUGUUUCAUGUGUCAUGAAAUACCUUUUCAGAUCCAGGAGCAAUGCCAGAAAGUGUUAAAACAGACGCUUCACUUUUAAAAUGAUCUACUUUAUAGUCUGAGUGCAGUGUCGCCCAGAAUCCCAUUUUAAAGGUUGUAAUGUCCGCAGACAAGCUUUGCAACACAAAGCCGAAUUAUCCCCAUAAUGCAUGUUUU